rnacentral:rRNA from 1 species
UACGUAGGUGGCAAGCGUUGUCCGGAAUUACUGGGUGUAAAGGGAGUGUAGGCGGGACUGUAAGUCCAGUGUUAAAUCUAUCGGCUCAACCGAUAGCUGCGCUGGAAACUGCGGUUCUUGAGUGAAGUAGAGGCAGGCGGAAUUCCUAGUGUAGCGGUGAAAUGCGUAGAUAUUAGGAGGAACACCAGUGGCGAAGGCGGCCUGCUGGGCUUUUACUGACGCUGAGGCUCGAAAGCGUGGGGAGCAAACAGGAUUAGAUACCCUGGUAGUCCACGCGGUAAACGAUGAUUACUAGGUGUGGGGGGACUGACCCCUUCCGUGCCGGAGUUAACACAAUAAGUAAUCCACCUGGGGAGUACGACCGCAAGGUUGAA